rnacentral:rRNA from 8 species
GACCUCGGAUCAGGUAGGAAUACCCGCUGAACUUAAGCAUAUCAAUA